CUCUUCAUGGUCAGGCCCCUUCAUAUCUUAAAGAGCUCAUAGUACCCUAUUACCCCACUAGAACACUACGUUCUCUGAAUGCUGGGCUACUUGUGGUUCCUAUAGUCUCUAAAAGUAGAACAGGAGCCAGAGCCUUCAGUUACCAAGCUCCUCUCCUGUGGAACCAGCUUCCAGUUGUGGUUUGGGAGGCAGACACCCUCUCCACAUUCAAGAGUAGGCUUAAGACAUUCCUCUUUGAUAAAGCUUAUAGUUAGGGCUGGAUCAGGUGAGUCCUGAACCAUCCCUUAGUUAUGCUGCUAUAGGCCUAGACUAUCGGGGGAUUUCCCAUGGUGCACUGAGCUCCUCCCUUCCUCUCUCUUUCUGCACUCAUUCAUGUCCCAUUAAUGCAUGUUACUAACUUCACUUCUUCCCCGGAGUUCUUGUGCUUUCUCGUCUCGCAGGUUCUUGUCGAUCCUGGUGGAGCCUCCUGCCAUGGUCCUGCUAGAUUGCCAUUGCCAAUACUGUUGUUGCUGUGCACCUAUCUGUCUGUUUGUCUCUCUCUCUGUCUCUCUCUCUCUCUCUCACCCCAACUGGUCGAGACAGACGACCACCCACCUAGAGCCGGAGGAUCUGUCCUAGGUUUCUGCCUUUUAACAGGCAGUUUUUCCUUGCCCUUGUCUCCAAGUGCUUGCUCAUGGUGGUACUGUUGGGUCUCUGUAAUUAAUGUUUUAAAGAGUUCGGUCUAGACCUGCUCUAUUUGAAAAGUGUCCUGAGAUAACUUCUGUUAUGAAUUGGCGCUAUACAAAUAAAAUUGAAUUGAAU